rnacentral:rRNA from 1 species
UACUAGAGUAGCACUCGCAUAUCAAUAAGCGGAGGAAAAGAAACUAACAAGGAUUCCCCUAGUAACGGCGAGUGAAGCGGGAAGAGCUCAAAUUUGGAAUCUUAAAGGGUUUCCCUUUACGAAUUGUAGUUUAAAGAAGUGUUUUCUGUUGAGGUUUUGGUAAAAGUUCUUUGGAAUAGGACAUCAUAGAGGGUGAGAAUCCCGUAUUUGACCUUUACUUUCAACUUUGUGAUACACUUUCAAAGAGUCGGAUUGUUUGGGAAUGCAGUCCAAAAUGGGUGGUAAAUUUCAUCUAAAGCUAAAUAUUGGCGAGAGACCGAUAGCGAACAAGUACCGUGAGGGAAAGAUGAAAAGAACUUUGAAAAGAGAGUUAAACAGUACGUGAAAUUGUCAAAAGGGAAGCGUUUGACACCAGUGUUGUUUUUCUGAAAAUCAAUUAAGGAACUGUUUAUGCUAAGCUGUUUAGACUUUAUCAGCUAUCUGUUUAGUUUUGAGCUUUUCUUUAAUGCACUUUUCAGUUAACAAGUCAACAUCAAUUUCUUUUGCUGUAAAAAAGCUUGAGGAAGGUGGCUUGAGAUUCGUCUUAAGUGUUUAUAGCCUCUUGCCUAUGCAGUCGGAGAGAUUGAGGUCUGCAGCGUAGAUCCUUCGGGGCUAAAUGCAUUUGUGCUAAGUUAUAGCAUUUUAUAGACAACUUGUUGACUAUGAUUUGUCUUGUAGCUUACUCGCUUAUGUUAUUUUACCUACGCUUAGGAUGUUGAGCGCAUGUCUCUCUCU